GGGACACAUCCCCAGUUUGUGCGUGAAUCGAACCCCAUCACAGCCGUCCAUCUUUAUGAUCACGAUGUUAACUCAAUCCAAUGGUGUUAGAUUCACGCACAAACUCGGGAUAUGUCUC
rnacentral:pre_miRNA from 1 species